AUUGAACGCUGGCGGCAGGCCUAACACAUGCAAGUCGAACGAGUGGCGGACGGGUGAGUAAUGUCUGGGAAACUGCCCGAUGGAGGGGGAUAACUACUGGAAACGGUAGCUAAUACCGCAUACCAUCGGAUGUGCCCAGAUGGGAGUAGCUAGUAGGUGGGGUAAAGGCUCACCUAGGCGACGAUCCCUAGCUGGUCUGAGAGGAUGACCAGCAACACUGGAACUGAGACACGGUCCAGACUCCUACGGGAGGGAGCAGUGGGGAAUAGUGCACAAUGGAGGGAACGCUGAUGCAGCGACGGCGGGUGAACGAAGAAGGCUGUCGAGUAGGAAAGUUCUUUUAUAUGGGAAGCGGUACCAUAAGAAAAAGCCCCGGCUAACUACGUGCCAGCAGCCGCGGUAAUAC
rnacentral:rRNA from 1 species